AGACGAUCUGCCGACCCUCUGGGAGAAAAUCCAGCAAGAUGCAAGCCUUCAGAAUCUGGGAUGUUAACCAGAAGACCUUCUAUCUGAGGAACAACCAACUAGUUGCUGGAUACUUGCAAGGACCAAAUGUCAAUUUAGAAGAAAAGAUAGAUGUGGUACCCAUUGAGCCUCAUGCUCUGUUCUUGGGAAUCCAUGGAGGGAAGAUGUGCCUGUCCUGUGUCAAGUCUGGUGAUGAGACCAGACUCCAGCUGGAGUUAACAUCACUGACCUGAGCGAGAACAGAAAGCAGGACAAGCGCUUCGCCUUCAUCCGCUCAGACAGUGGCCCCACCACCAGUUUUGAGUCUGCCGCCUGCCCCGGUUGGUUCCUCUGCACAGCGAUGGAAGCUGACCAGCCCGUCAGCCUCACCAAUAUGCCUGACGAAGGCGUCAUGGUCACCAAAUUCUACUUCCAGGAGGACGAGUAGUACUGCCCAGGCCUGCCUGUUCCCAUUCUUGCAUGGCAAGGACUGCAGGGACUGCCAGUCCCCCUGCCCCAGGGCUCCCGGCUAUGGGGGCACUGAGGACCAGCCAUUGAGGGGUGGACCCUCAGAAGGCGUCACAACAACCUGGUCACAGGACUCUGCCUCCUCUUCAACUGACCAGCCUCCAUGCUGCCUCCAGAAUGGUCUUUCUAAUGUGUGAAUCAGAGCACAGCAGCCCCUGCACAAAGCCCUUCCAUGUCGCCUCUGCAUUCAGGAUCAAACCCCGACCACCUGCCCAACCUGCUCUCCUCUUGCCACUGCCUCUUCCUCCCUCAUUCCACCUUCCCAUGCCCUGGAUCCAUCAGGCCACUUGAUGACCCC
rnacentral:lncRNA from 1 species